GCCCUUAGAGUUUGAUCCUGGCUCAGGACGAACGCUGGCGGCGUGCUUAACACAUGCAAGUCGAACGGUCUAUAAGGGCUUGCCCUUAUAGGUAGUGGCGAACGGGUGCGUAACACGUGAGUAACCUGCCCCAUAGUUUGGAAUAACACCGGGAAACCGAUGCUAAUACCAAAUAUGCUCGCACUAGCACAAGCUAGAGCAAGGAAAGAUUUACCGCUUUGGGAGGGGCUCGCGGCCUAUCAGCUUGUUGGUGAGGUAACGGCUCACCAAGGCUUCGACGGGCAGCUGGUCUGAGAGGACGAUCAGCCACACUGGGACUGAGACACGGCCCAGACUCCUACGGGAGGCAGCAGUGGGGAAUAUUGCGCAAUGGGCGAAAGCCUGACGCAGCAACGCCGCGUGGAGGAUGAAGGCUCUAGGGUCGUAAACUCCUUUCAGCAGGAAAGAAAAUGACGGUACCUGCAGAAGAAGCUCCGGCCAACUACGUGCCAGCAGCCGCGGUAAUACGUAGGGAGCAAGCGUUGUCCGGAUUUAUUGGGCGUAAAGAGCUCGUAGGCGGCUUAGAUAGUCGGAUGUUAAACCCCUAGGCUUAACCUAGGGCAGCCAUUCGAUACUACUAUGGCUAGAGUUCGGUAGGGGAUUGUGGAAUUCCCGGUGUAGCGGUGAAAUGCGCAGAUAUCGGGAGGAACACCAAUGGCGAAGGCAGCAAUCUGGGCCGAUACUGACGCUGAGGAGCGAAAGCGUGGGGAGCAAACAGGAUUAGAUACCCUGGUAGUCCACGCCCUAAACGUUGGGCACUAGGUGACUGACCUACUUCGACGGGUUCCGUGCCGUAGCUAACGCAUUAAGUGCCCCGCCUGGGGAGUACGGCCGCAAGGCUAAAACUCAAAUGAAUUGACGGGGAAGGGC
rnacentral:rRNA from 1 species